GGGGGGGGGGGGGGGGGGGGGGGGGGGGGGCGGGGCGGGGGGGUGGGGGGGGGGGGCGCCGGGAGGCAGCGGCGGACGGGGGAGUAAUGCCGAGGAAUCUGCCUGGUAGUGGGGGAUAACGUCCGGAAACGGGCGCUAAUACCGCAGACGUCCUGAGGGGGAAAGUGGGGGAUCUGCGGACCUCACGCUAUCAGAUGAGCCUAGGUCGGAUUAGCUAGUUGGUGGGGUAAAGGCCUACCAAGGCGACGAUCCGUACCUGGCCUGAGAGGAUGAUCAGUCACACGGGAACUGGAACCGGGCCCGGCCCCCUAGGGGGGGCAGAGGUGGGAAAUUUUGGAAAAGGGGCGAAAGCCUGAUCCAGCCAGGCCGGGGGGGUGAAGAAGGUUUUCGGUUUGUAAAGCACUUUAAGUUGGGAGGAAGGGCAGGAAGUUAAUACCUUGCUUUUUUGACGUUACCAACAGAAAAAGCCCCGGCUAACUUCUU
rnacentral:rRNA from 1 species